AAUUACUUCCUUUGCUUGACUUGAACGUUUUCUAAGUUUCAAAUACAUAUAUAUAAUAAAUAUACAAACAUAGAUCUAUAUAUAGAGCCACUCAAAUUGUGGUAUCAUGAUGAGAAGGUGAGUUUUGAGCAAGAUGGAGAAGCAGGGUACGUGCUUUACUAACUCAUGUAUUUUGUAGUUAUUUGGUGGAAUUAAAAUCUAGGUUUUAUAAUCAGUAAGUUCAAAACGAAUGAGCAUUAACAUAAUAUAGUUGAAAAAAUAUAGCAUGCUGGGACAAAUUCAAAAUUUAAACUUAGGAGUUUAACCUUCAAAAUAUUUACCACCCAACAUGUUGCAUUAUAAAUUGAGCCUUUGAUGUGUGUGUAUACUUAUAUAUAUAUUGAAAUUACAGUAACUUUUCACAUGUAUAUUAAACAUAUAUACAUAAUUUCAAUCGAAAACAAUAAAAUUCAGUUGAACUAUAUGCCACAUAAAUUAAUAUGAGUACUAUAUGCUGCAGUACUAAAAGGGAAACUAGUAUUACUGGCCUUGUACGAAUACUAGCUAGUAUACUAAUCGUACAUAAAUAGAUAGAAUCAGCUUACAAUACUAAGAAAGUAUUGCCUAUAGACGAGAAUUAGCUCCCGAGGUAGUCUAAUACUAGUAGUAAAUGUUCUGAAUGAUGUGUUAAAUGAGUUAGUUCUUCAUGUGCCCAUCUUCCCCAUCAUGACAACUCAACCUUAUUAUUAUCUGAAUAUGAUCGCCCUGCCAAAGCAUUUGCAGUUAGCUCUCUUCCCAUCAUUGGCAGGUAAGUGGCUUCCUUCAUUUUUCAUAUUUUAACCGCCCCAAAAAACGCCUACAUUCAUAUUUCCUUCAUAUUAAUUUGUUUGUUCUAUUUUUCUUUUUAGGAUGUUUCAGAAAGAACAUCUCUUUUCUUAAUUUUUUGACGACACCUUUACUUGAACUUUCCACAUCACAUGUUAUACAUUCUAAUUAUAUAUUUUUAGUUUAAAAUUAUAUCAUUUAAAAGUUUUCUUUAUUUUUUUAAAUCUCAGAUCAAGUUAGAACUGGAUAAAUAAAUUGAAACUGAGGAAUAUAUGUUUUUCUCCUUGCAUGAGAUAGAAAAUCUAAGCGUUUAAUGGUCAUGUAUGAUUUUCAAGAAUAAUUCUGUCAAUGGUAAUGGAAGAUGUAUUAAAAGAUAGGCAUUUGAAUUUUGAGUGAUAGAGUGGUGUAAAUUAGAAUCAAAGAACUUUUUUUAUAAGAAAGUAUCUGCUUCAACUUGACCUCUUGAAUCUAUUUGUGUGUGUUUUCCAAAUUGAAUAUUAUAUUAAAAUAUCAAUGUUUGACUUCAUUAUAAUUAGAAAUCUGGAAAAAAGUUAUUGGAAUUAUAAAAUUAAGGAUUAGGAUUAUUUGAUAGUCAAAAACUUGGUGGAAGCUAGCUAGAAAAUCUGCACCGGCCAGUCCACAUUGAUGGUGGCAUGAUAAUAUAUGUAUGAUUAUAAAAUAAAACAAAUAGUAGAACUUAAAAGAAAAUUUAUUUCUUCAUAUCUUUUUUCUUAAAAAUUGGAUAAUACAUUACAAACCACGAGUACUAAUUGCUUUAAGCCAGAAUCCAGUGCUUUGUGAAAUAACUUCCCACCAACUAGGACCGAAAAGAAAAAGAGAAAAAAAAGGAAGCUUUGCAAGGAUAAUUAAUAUUGCCUAAAAUUGGUUUCAAUUUUCACAUGCAUCUAAGUAGGUCGAACGACCAAAACAAAAGUUCCAUGUGUUUUCAUUGUGUUUAGUCUAAUCAAAUUGUAUUACGAAAAAUCCAACUUUCAAGUGAAAGAGAACCAAAAAAAAAUUAUAAGUGAUUAUUUGAGAAAUCAAUUCAACAAAAGAAAAAAUAGACAAUCCUGCAGUACCAUUAUAUAUGAAAGGAUUUGAGGCGGAUUCAAAUAUCAAAGCAUUAUUAAUAGAACUCUCUAUUUAUCAUUAAGAAUUUCUCCUUUCUGUUACGUAAAAAUUUGAAUUCCAUAGUACUAAGAUUGGAUUUAGAUACUUUCACAUUCUCUAAAAUGCUAAUUAAAGAAUAUUAAGAAAUUACAUGAAAUUAUAUUUGUACAAACUUAAACUUUACAUUUCAAUAUAGUUAACAACAUUAUAAAUAUUGAUGAUCUAAUGUGCGGAAAAAACUCAGGAUAUUGUAUGCUAAUUAUAUAGUGCUUGAAUUUUAUACACACAAAGAAAAGAUGCCUAAUUGGCAAUGUGUCCUCUCCAUCUAGGAAAGCAAUACCUUUUUGUCUUGCUUUAUCUAUGCUCCUUCCACUAUAUCAUAAUAAGUUAGGAUUCUGAAUUCAAUCCUUGUAUGUUUCUAACUUUCCUUUCCCAUUUCAAUGUGAUUAGAUUUAAUUAAUUAUAGUAGAUUUUAAUCCCCUUGUAUUUGGCUUGAGUCAAGGGUCCAUAUAGUAUCUUUCUCGAAAAAAGGAUGGACUUCUGUUGAGGCAUUGAAUCUUUAAAGAAUUUUGAUCAGCACUUUGAAUUGUUCAUGAGAAAGAUAUCUCUCCCUUCUUGUUGAAGACCUUUGGAGAAGGAGGAGACUUCUGCAGAUGUCGUUGCUCUUCUAUGUCUCUUGUCAAAAUACAAUGCUUAUUUCCAGAUCACUUCAAGAGGGGAUGUGUAACCCCUUUAUAUCUCGAUGUAAGUUGGAGCUUGAGGGUAUCGUGGUCCCAAAUAAUUCUAUCAAUCCUUGGGCUUAAAGAACAGAAAGAAGAGAAGGAAUUUUGGGAGAAUAUUGUUUGUAUUAUUGUGUGUUUUAUAAUGUAUACAUGUCUGUCUUAUAUAGAAAACUCUAUACACGUUCAAUGCUCAAGAAAAGAUUUCUAUCUGAACUUCUACACAAUGGAGAUAAACCCCUACUAGACUUCUACAAAAUAGUGAUAGACUCCUAAUGACAAUAUGUAAUUCUAAUGUCUUAUUUUUAAUGGUCAAAAAAUUCUGAAAACAAAUCUAUUCAAAUACAAGCUGACACACG
rnacentral:lncRNA from 1 species